rnacentral:rRNA from 1 species
CGGUAUGCCUAAGACAUGCAAGUCGAACGGGCUGUGUAUGCAGCCAGUGGCGGACGGGUGAGUAACACGUAGGUGACCUACCCCAAAGUCUGGGACAACUAGGAGAAAUCUUAGCUAAUCCUGGAUGUGGACAUCUACUUUGGUGGAUGUUUAAAGCUUCGGCGCUUUGGGAUGGGCCUGCGGCGCAUCAGGUAGUUGGUGGGGUAAUGGCCUACCAAGCCGACGACGCGUAGCUGGUCUGAGAGGACGAUCAGCCACAGGGGUACUGAGACACGGACCCCACUCCUACGGGAGGCAGCAGUUAGGAAUCUUCCGCAAUGGGCGAAAGCCUGACGGAGCGAUACCGCUUGAAGGACGAAGCCCUUCGGGGUGUAAACUUCUGAACUCGGGACGAUAAUGACGGUACCGAGGUAAUAGCACCGGCUAACUCCGUGCCAGCAGCCGCGGUAAUACGGAGGGUGCGAGCGUUACCCGGAUUUACUGGGUGUAAAGGGCGUGUAGGCGGUCUCUCAAGUCCGAUGCUAAAGACCGAAGCUCAACUUCGGGGGUGCGUUGGAUACUGUGAGGCUAGACGGUCGGAGAGGGUAGCGGAAUUUCCGGAGUAGCGGUGAAAUGCGCAGAUACCGGAAGGAACGCCGAUAGCGAAAGCAGCUACCUGGACGAUUUGUGACGCUGAGGCGCGAAAGCGUGGGGAGCAAACCGGAUUAGAUACCCGGGUAGUCCACGCCCUAAACGAUGAGUGCUGGGUGUCCGACAUCUGUUGGGUGCCGUAGCUAACGCGUUAAGCACUCCACCUGGGAAGUACGGUCGCAAGACUGAAACUCAAAGGAAUUGACGGGGGCCCGCACAAGCGGUGGAGCAUGUGGUUUAAUUCGAAGCAACGCGCAGAACCUUACCAGGUCUUGACAUCCUGGGAACCCUGGUGAAAGCCGGGGGUGCCCGCAAGGGAACCCAGAAACAGGUGCUGCUAGGUCGUCGUCAGC